rnacentral:rRNA from 1 species
UGGGGAAUUUUGGACGAAUUGGGCGAAAGCCUGAUCCAGCAAUGCCGCGUGUGUGAAGAAGGCCUUCGGGUUGUAAAGCACUUUUGUCCGGAAAGAAAUCCUUGGCUCUAAUACAGUCGGGGGAUGACGGUACCGGAAGAAUAAGCACCGGCUAACUACGUGCCAGCAGCCGCGGUAAUACGUAGGGCUGCAAGCGUUAAUCGGAAUUACUGGGCGUAAAGCGUGCGCAGGCGGUUUGCUAAGACCGAUGUGAAAUCCCCGGGCUCAACCUGGGAACUGCAUUGGUGACUGGCAGGCUAGAGUAUGGCAGAGGGGGGUAGAAUUCCACGUGUAGCAGUGAAAUGCGUAGAGAUGUGGAGGAAUACCGAUGGCGAAGGCAGCCCCCUGGGCCAAUACUGACGCUCAUGCACGAAAGCGUGGGGAGCAAACAGGAUUAGAUACCCUGGUAGUCCACGCCCUAAA